UUCAAGUCAUACCUAUUGCAUGCAAACGCACAAGACUGUUAAGGUGACACGUGUUGAAACAGCCAGCAAUAACCGACUCCAAGAUUUCGAAAACAGAGGACCAGAGCGAGCCAGAGGUCAGAAGUUUGUUUCUGUAAAUAAAACUGAAUUUUCGUACCUCCCAAUCCAAAUUCUGACAGAUGGAUCCACGCAUGGAAGCCACACCCCACACGCGUUAGUCAGAGUCGGGAGACCUUUCCUUCAUUGAUUGGUGGGUUUGGGUUUCAAGACCAAAGUGGGGGAAUCAAUCCAGUAGUAGUAAUAAUCUGAAUUAUCACUGGGUGGGAGUUGUCCUGACUUUAUCCGUGUGUGUGAAUCAAUGGAUGAGACUCGACUCUUUUCUUUUACAACUGCUGUUUCAGUUAUCUCUUUUACCUUCCUUCUUUGCGUUAAAUGAGGCAGAGAGAGACAGAGAGAGACAGAGAGAGGAAGGCCAUAUCCAGUGUAC
rnacentral:lncRNA from 1 species